rnacentral:rRNA from 1 species
UGGGGAAUAUUGCACAAUGGGCGAAAGCCUGAUGCAGCAACGCCGCGUGAGGGACGACGGCCUUCGGGUUGUAAACCUCUUUUAGCAAGGAAGAAGCGAAAGUGACGGUACUUGCAGAAAAAGCGCCGGCUAACUACGUGCCAGCAGCCGCGGUAAUACGUAGGGCGCAAGCGUUAUCCGGAAUUAUUGGGCGUAAAGAGCUCGUAGGCGGUUUGUCGCGUCUGCUGUGAAAACCCGAGGCUCAACCUCGGGCCUGCAGUGGGUACGGGCAGACUAGAGUGCGGUAGGGGAGAUUGGAACUCCUGGUGUAGCGGUGGAAUGCGCAGAUAUCAGGAAGAACACCGAUGGCGAAGGCAGAUCUCUGGGCCGUAACUGACGCUGAGGAGCGAAACGGGUGGGGAGCAAACAGGCUUAGAUACCCUGGUAGUCCACCCGUAAACGUUGGGAACUAGUUGUGGGGUCCAUUCCACGGAUUCCGUGACGCAGCUAACGCAUUAAGUUCCCCGCCUGGGGAGUACGGCCGCAAGG